rnacentral:rRNA from 1 species
GACGAACGCUGGCGGCGUGCUUAACACAUGCAAGUCGAACGAUGAACCCGGAGCUUGCUCCGGCGGAUUAGUGGCGAACGGGUGAGUAACACGUGAGUAACCUGCCCUUGACUCUGGGAUAACUGCUAGAAAUGGUAGCUAAUACCGGAUACGACCCUCGGUGGCAUCACCAGGGGGUGGAAAGAAUUUCGGUCAAGGAUGGACUCGCGGCCUAUCAGCUAGUUGGUGAGGUAACGGCUCACCAAGGCGACGACGGGUAGCCGGCCUGAGAGGGUGACCGGCCACACUGGGACUGAGACACGGCCCAGACUCCUACGGGAGGCAGCAGUGGGGAAUAUUGCACAAUGGGCGCAAGCCUGAUGCAGCAACGCCGCGUGAGGGAUGACGGCCUUCGGGUUGUAAACCUCUUUUAGUAGGGAAGAAGCGAAAGUGACGGUACCUGCAGAAAAAGCACCGGCUAACUACGUGCCAGCCGCCGCGGUAA